rnacentral:rRNA from 1 species
UGACGCUGGCGGCAGGCCUAACACAUGCAAGUCGAGCGGAUGAGUGGAGCUUGCUCCAUGAUUCAGCGGCGGACGGGUGAGUAAUGCCUAGGAAUCUGCCUGGUAGUGGGGGACAACGUUUCGAAAGGAACGCUAAUACCGCAUACGUCCUACGGGAGAAAGUGGGGGAUCUUCGGACCUCACGCUAUCAGAUGAGCCUAGGUCGGAUUAGCUAGUUGGUGAGGUAAAGGCUCACCAAGGCGACGAUCCGUAACUGGUCUGAGAGGAUGAUCAGUCACACUGGAACUGAGACACGGUCCAGACUCCUACGGGAGGCAGCAGUGGGGAAUAUUGGACAAUGGGCGAAAGCCUGAUCCAGCCAUGCCGCGUGUGUGAAGAAGGUCUUCGGAUUGUAAAGCACUUUAAGUUGGGAGGAAGGGCAGUAAGUUAAUACCUUGCUGUUUUGACGUUACCAACAGAAUAAGCACCGGCUAACUUCGUGCCAGCAGCCGCGGUAAUACGAAGGGUG